rnacentral:tRNA from 1 species
GGGGUUGUGGCUCAGUGGCAGAGCAUUUGCCUCACACAUAUAAGGCACUGGGUUUGACCCUCAGCACCACA